rnacentral:rRNA from 1 species
UACGUAGGGGGCAAGCGUUGUCCGGAUUUAUUGGGCGUAAAGAGCGUGUAGGCGGCCAGGUAGGUCCGCUGUGAAAACUCUGGGCUCAACUCAGAGCCUGCAGGCGAAACUGCCGUGCUUGAGUGUGGGAGAGGUGCGUGGAAUUCCCGGUGUAGCGGUGAAAUGCGUAGAUAUCUGGAGGAACACCGGUGGCGAAGGCGGCAUCCUGGACCAACACUGACGCUGAGGAGCGAAAGCCAGGGGAGCAAACGGG